CCUACGGGAGGCAGCAGUGAGGAAUAUUGGUCAAUGGACGAGAGUCUGAACCAGCCAAGUAGCGUGAAGGAUGACUGCCCUAUGGGUUGUAAACUUCUUUUAUAUGGGAAUAAAAUGUUCCACGUGUGGGAUUUUGUAUGUACCAUAUGAAUAAGGAUCGGCUAACUCCGUGCCAGCAGCCGCGGUAAUACGGAGGAACCGAGCGUUAUCCGGAUUGAUUGGGUUUAAAGGGAGCGUAGGUGGAUUGUUAAGUCAGAUGUGAAAGUUUGCGGCUCAACCGUAAAAGUGCAGUUGAAACUGGCAGUCUUGAGUACAGUAGAGGUGGGCGGAAUUCGUGGUGUAGCGGUGAAAUGCUUAGAUAUCACGAAGAACUCCGAUUGCGAAGGCAGCUCACUGGACUGCAACUGACACUGAGGCGCGAAAGUGUGGGUAUCAAACAGGAUUAGAUACCCCAGUAGUC
rnacentral:rRNA from 1 species